UAGCUUUUUUUUUUAAAAAAAAAACUUGGAAAAAUAUAAAAAUAGUUUCAUUUUAAUUGUCAGUCUUAUGUUUAUAGUUAUUUUGCUUAUGUAGGAUUAAUUAAAUAAAUUCAUGUUUUCGUUCUCGGUUCCGGGCAAAGAAUAAUAUUCGGGUUCAAACGACCCAUUUUUAGGCCUAAUUUUCGAACCUAGCCUCCGAGCCCACCACACGUGGGGGACACAGACAAAACACAAGAACAUGGGCACAUGGACAAAGUAACGUGGGAAGGCUUUUAAAAUUGGACCACUUAGAUUUAAGAGAAAAAAAAAAGAAAAAGCAUAUAAAAACACCCUACAUUUACAUAUACACGGAUGAGCACAUGAAAGGGGGGACUUAGACAUUUUUUUUUUGAAAAAAGAAAGGGAAGACCACUACUGUUGGUCUUCUUCUCCAUUUUUGAAGAAGAAGAAAAAACCACCACGACCAUAACUCCACCUCCUUCACGUCUCAAAACCACCACUGCCCGUCACCGAAAAAAUCGUCCAACGACCACCCUUCCACCUCCAGCAACCACCAUCGCCCUAGCUUCCUCUCCGUCUCACGACCACCAUCAACAGCCCACCAUCCCUCACGAACCAGAAGCAACAUCGUCAACCAAACAGUCCGUCGACCACCCUAUCCUCCAGCCAGCGAGCUCCAGCUCCACCAAAACAGCCAUCGCUGCUGCGCCAUCACCUUCCUCGUCGUCCACCCAGACCACCCUCAUCGUCGCCAUAGACUCCCUCCGUUCGUCGCUACAUCCGUCAACCGGACGAGCUCAACCUCACUAUCGAGCAACCAGAUCGUCCCCGUCAUCCUUCUUCUAGUCGACAACCAAUCAACCAGCCCCACGACCACCGGAGCCCCGUCGAGCAGCAGCUGUUGCUGCUGCUAUUGCUUCACGUUCUUCUCCUUCGAACACCAUAACACCAGCCCCCAGGUCUCUAACCAAUCAGCCCAGUUGUCGAUGUUUCUUCACUGUCGUCGCGCAGUUCGUCUGAGGUCGUCGUUUGAGUUGUGCUCGUGGUUUCCGGUCUAAGAUCUUUGAGCUUGACAUCGAGGUUUCAAGGUUCCGUCGUUGGAGAGGUUUCCGAUAGUUGUCGGUCCAGUUUGGUUGUUGUUCUUGCUUCAAACAGAUACAAAUAGUGAUUCAAGCCAUACUUCACAAUAUGUGACUCAACUUAGGUGAAGGUUGUCACGCUCCUUUCUUUCAGAGUUGUUCAGUGAGCUGGCAGGUUGAAGGGACACAUAAAAGAAAGUUGAAUCUCGUCUUCAAUAAAACAACCAUCAUUUUGUUCAAGUCAAAUUAAGACACCAAGGUGCUUCGAUGUGCAGAAACCAAUCUCUCAGGUGUUUACCUACAGCUUUGGUCAACUUCUGAAAAAUUAUUCUAUACAAUUCGUUGCAAUGCUUCGGAAAGUAGUACUUUAUGAUCAUCUAUGAUUCUCUUAUUUUUAUAUAUAUUUACUGAAUGAUUAUUUGUUUUUUGAGCUGGUUAUGAUCACUUAAGUGUGCACAUGAUCUCCACCAGAAAGAUUUAGCCUCCUGAAAUUGACUAGCAAAAAAGUCAUUGUCAGAAAUGACCAAUACAUAAACACAGACGCACUACCAAUACUUGGACCGGUUAUGCCCAAAACUAUCUUCUUGUAGUUUUUGCUUCCUCAUUGUUUUUGCUUUACAUUAACAAGGCACAGACCAAUAGUUUGGACCUAUCCUGGAAUUGUAGCUUUUACUUGCUAUAAAAUCUUGAGCUGAUAAAGUGUCCUGUCUAAUGCAUAAAUUGUUCCUUUUGUUGAUUCUAGUGUCCUCGGCAUCCUGAAAUGACCCUGAGAUAAUGUAACUCGAUAUUAUUUGUCUCCCGUCUCCAUAGAUUAUAUUUUUGGUAUGUGACUAAAGGAUUUCCCAUCCGCGUAGAUGAAGAAGCAUAGAGGGAGUCUUCCUAUGAGAAACCAUCAACUCUUUGAAGCAAUCAGUCCUUGUUUCUCAUAUUUGAAAUCAAAAUACAUUCCUCCAUUUUCCAAACUUCAGUAUCCUAUUUCCUUCCUUUUCACAGGUGACAAACUAGGGGAAUGAUCUAGUGCAACAUGAAAGACUUGAGUUAGUAGAUAUAAGGCUUACUUUACUGAAUGGAGACUCGUAUCGAGAUAAUGAGCAUUAAACUGCAGGAUUCCUAAGAGAAGCUCCAAUUUCAAGACACCUCAAAUUUGUAUGGUACUAGCAUCUGUCGCAUAUCGCUCCAUCUGCAUAUGGAUUUUUUGUCCCCCUGUGUUUGAUCUUCAAUUGUUUAAAUAACUUUCCUUGAGCAUAGUGAACUGUAGAUAAAAUGCAUGGUGUGUCAUAUGAUUGAAAGAAACAACAUAGUGAAGUGUGCAGGAGAAGUCUAAGACUGUUUACUGUAGUCAUACUUAUCUACUUGAGCAAUGAUGUGGAAAGUAUGUUCAUUCUUUUAUUUUUUUCUCAUCUAAGACUGUUUUCGGAGAAAUAAUCAUCUUUUGGGUGACACUGUGAAAAGUUGCCAUUCUUUCAUUUUGUCGAGCAAAUUAUCUUCCUUAGAUUUCCUUAUUGUUAAUGCUGUGUCGGUGCUUGAUUUUUGUCUAAGCAAUUUGAGAAAUAUUUUACAAGGGCAGAACUAUAAAAAAAUUGUGUUUAUACUUAAUAAACACUAUCCAAAAUGAAGCAUGUUAUAAUAUCUAAUGCUCUGUAGUGAACUACCAUAAAGUUGAGGCAACUGAAAGGAAGGCUGACCCAGUUAUCAGUCAACAAGUGAAACUGGCAUAACCAGCUUACAACUAGCACUUGGUUGUUCUUAUGAUGGAACUGGUUGUUCAGGUUUGAUCUUCUUUCGUGCAUCAAACCUUUGCAUGUCUUGUGUGUCUACAUGUUGUAAACUGCCCUUCAAACUCAUGUAAUUCUGGACUUGGAGUUAGAGGUCCAAUCUGAAAUAAGCUAUGCAUUAAUCUCACCUUUUGGAGCAUCUGAGUUUUGUAUAUCCUGUAAUUUGCUGUGUUCUUUUGCAUGGUUCACAGUGACCAACCACUUUUGUCUCAUUCCUUUUAGAUGUCUAUUAUCUGCAGACAUAGAAACCUAUUCUUCCUGUCAUUUGCUUUGUUAAUAUACAUACCUUUUCAUAAGUGACACAAAAGUGUAUCGUCAUGUAGUAACAAUUGACUCUUUUAAGAAAAAAUACAUUGAUUUAUUACGGCUAAAAGUUUAGAUGCUAAUUCCUCUUGGGCUUCUAUUCCUUUGCAAAGAAUUGUAUCAUGUGGAAGGUUCAGAGUUAAGUUCAGAUGCUACAUUUCAUUUGGGCUUCCAUUCCUCUGUGAACAAGAGUUUUACGCUUCCAUUCCGACUUUGUUCGUUCAGGUAUAGAUUGCAUCAUUGUCUUUUAUUUUUUCAUUGCUUCAAAUGCUGAAAUUCACUUGGACUUCCAUUCCUCUGCAUAGAAUUGUAUCAAGUGUUUUAGACAUACAUUUUUGUUCAGGUUAUACUUUUGAACAUAUUCUCUCUUAUUUAUUUUUUUAGUUCCGAUGCUAAGUUUCUCUUUGGGCUUCCAUUUCUGCAAAGAAGAAUUCGGGUUUAGACUUCAUUCCAUCUUUGUUCAAGCUAUGCUUUCAUUAUUUUCUUUUAUUUUUUCCGUUGCCUGUCUUUGUUUUGGUGUUUUUAUCUAUGAAUCAGGAUUGACUUUUGAAGUUACUAGUUGUCUCUCGCUUUUGUUUAUUUUUAUUGUUUGAGUGGGUGUUGUGAGGCUAGGACUCUUAGGGGUCGUUUGGUUGAGAAAUAAGUUAUCCCAUGAUUAAUUAUCCGGUAUUAGUUGUCCUGGGAUUAGUUAUUCCACCCUCUCAUAGGGAUAAAAAAACACUGCAAUCCCGAGAUAACUGAUCCGGGGAUUAGUUAUACCACAAUUUUAUUCCAAUCAAACAUGGAAUAAACUCAUCUCAAAUUUAAUCCUGAGAUUAAUAUACCUAAUCUCUCAUACCAAACGAGCCCUUAGAGUCUGUAUUUUUCAAGGGCAUCCUUGCUUAAUCGUGUUUUCUACCUGGAGAAGCUGCAAGAAACAAAGAAAAAAAGAAAGAUGAAAAGGCGUUCAUUUAGUUAGUGCAAGGCAAACAGAUGCAGCAGUUCCCAACUGCAUUAUGCCUUUCCAUCAUGACUGCCUUCCAGAAAGCUCCCAAUGGUCUACUUCUUUCUGAUAUCAUAGAUAAAUUAGCUCAGCACUAGUGUCUGAACUUGUUUCUGUUGUAUGCAAGACCUAUCUACACUUGCUUCUGGUUUAUGCAAGAUCUAUCAGACUUUCAUGGACUUGUUCAAGAGGGAUUGUGUUUCUCGUGGUGUUCAUAGACUUAACUUAAUGUUGUUCUUAUGAGUGGUGCUGCGAAGCAUUUCAGGAAGCACGACACCUUGGCUUUCAUCUCAUAUUAAUGAUUUUGCACCUAGGUGUAUAUUCCAACAUUCAAUGAAGUGUGUGAAACCAUGAGAGAAUGAAGGUUCAAAAUGCAGUAGAGACAAUUGACAUUAGGACACCACCAUUAUUUGGAAAAAAAAAAAAGAGAGGAAAGAAGCAGGGGGCGUAUCUAGGGGGGUUUCAUGGGGCACAUGAAUCCAUGCUCCCCGCCCUAAAUCAUGUAUAGUAGUGAUAUACUUUUUUUCAAAAAUAUUUAAAUAUAUGUGUGUGCACCCAUGCUCAAAGUAUUAUAUGAUGCGAUGGUUAUUGGGUGUACAUCUGUAGGUGAUGUUGUGAGUUUAAAUCUUAUGUCAAUCUUGUUGUUUUUUCCUUUUUUUUUUCUAGAAGUAGACUCCCCCGAGAGGUGGACAUGUCUGGUGUUAUUUUUUAAGUUCUUUUUCUUUUUAUUUCUUUUUUUGUUUGGUUUAUUCUUUCAAAAUUUUCAUUGAAA